rnacentral:rRNA from 1 species
GACGAACGCUGGCGGCGUGCCUAAUACAUGCAAGUCGAACGCAGUGGGGACGGGUGAGUAACACGUUGGUAACCUCCCAUCAGAGGGGAUAACCCUUGGAAACAGGUGCUAAACCGAUAUUGAUGGUUGGACCCGCGGUGCAUUAGCUAGUUGGUGAGGUAACGGCUCACCAAGGCCACGAUGCAUAGACGACCUGAGAGGGUGAUCGGCCACACUGGGACUGAGACACGGCCCAGACUCCUACGGGAGGCAGCAGUAGGGAAUCUUCGGCAAUGGACGAAAGUCUGACCGAGCAACGCCGCGUGAGUGAAGAAGGUUUUCGGAUCGUAAAACUCUGUUGUUAGAGAAGCGGUAUCUAACCAGAAAGCAACGGCUAACUACGUGCCAGCAGCCGCGGUAAUUC